CAAAGCCUGCAAGAUUAACUUACAUCGCCUGAAUGCAACCCAGGUACUUUACUUAAAUUAAGGCUUU
rnacentral:tRNA from 1 species